GCCUGUGACCAAAUCACCCAAAACACGUUCGAUCUCAUAUGAUCUCGGAAGCUAAGCAGCCUUGAGCCUGGAUAGUGCUUGGAUAGGCGUACCAACACGCACAAACAGGUUGUUUAAGGCU
rnacentral:rRNA from 1 species